rnacentral:rRNA from 1 species
GUGAGGAAUAUUGGACAAUGGGCGCAAGCCUGAUCCAGCCAUGCCGCGUGCAGGAAGACGCAUCUAUGGUGUGUAAACUGCUUUUGUACGGGAAGAAACACUCCCUCGUGAGGGAGCUUGACGGUACCGUAAGAAUAAGGAUCGGCUAACUCCGUGCCAGCAGCCGCGGUAAUACGGAGGAUCCAAGCGUUAUCCGGAAUCAUUGGGUUUAAUGGGUCCGUAGGCGGUUUAAUAAGUCAGUGGUGAAAGCCCAUCGCUCAACGAUGGAACGGCCAUUGAUACUGUUAGACUUGAAUUACAAGGAAGUAACUAGAAUAGGUAGUGUAGCGGUGAAAUGCUUAGAUAUUACAUGGAAUACCAAUUGCGAAGGCAGGUUACUACUUGUGGAUUGACGCUGAUGGACGAAAGCGUGGGGAGCGAACAGGAUUAGAAACCCCGGUAGUCC